GAUGAAGAACGCAGCGAAAUGCGAUAAGUAAUGCGAAUUGCAGAAUCCGUGAGUCAUCGAAUCUUUGAACGCACAUUGCGCCCCUUGGUUAUUCCGAAGGGCAUGCCUGUUCGAGCGUCAUUAUCACCCCUCAAGCCCUGGCUUGGUGUUGGACUUUAGUUAUAGCUUUGCCUAUCAACUGGUCUCAAAGAUAGUGACGGCGCCCCAGAGGAAACCGGGUACGAGGAGCUUUUUACUAAGCAUGUAUCUGGGACGACUCUGGGCGACGGUCUUGUUAUACUUUUUACCUAAGUGUUGACCUCGGAUCAGGUAGGAAUACCCGCUGAACUUAAGCAUAUCAAUAAGCGGAGGA
rnacentral:misc_RNA from 1 species